GAAAAACUGCACACAUAAAAGCCAGGAAAUGAGUGAGAAGAUACAUUCUUGCACACUAUUCUCAUAAUCUUAUUCUUUUCCUCUUCCUCCCUUCUUCCGUUACAGCAGACAAAAAAAAAUGUGGUCAAUGUCGAACAGCCCGUGACAAAUGCUAUAAAUAGAAACUCCCAUAAGCAGACACAUCAUCCUUCAUUCUUUCAUUGCACAAAUGGCAUCAAUCUUAAAAGGAAGACUUGCUUUGGCUCUCAUUAUGCUUAUCGUAGCCAGUUCCACUCUUGACACCAUAUCGUUGGCCGAUGCUCGAACCUCAUACAAGCGUGCCCGCCAAUUAACUAAUAAUUGCGAAGAUGGACCUGGGCAAAGUGACUAUCCUGGAUGUGUAGGCGGAGGCGAAGACGAUGGAUCACAAAGACCAGGACCAGGAAUACCAAGUCCAUUACCAGGGUCCAGCCUUUGCAAGAAGGGUUGCUGUGGAACGACUAUAAAGGGAAGAUGCAAAUGUUGCAAGUAGUAUUGGAGACUAUGUCGCCUAUAAUAAAUAGCCAUCAUUUUAGUUUUUGAAUUUUUUUUUUAUCAUUUUAUUUUAUAAUAACUAGCAGAAUUACUGGCGUUACGCAACGAGAUUUCAAUUA